GAUGAAGAACGUAGUGAAAUGCGAUACGUAAUGUGAAUUGCAGAAUUCAGUGAAUCAUCGAGUCUUUGAACGCACAUUGCGCCCCCUGGUAUUCCGGGGGGCAUGCCUGUCCGAGCGUCAUUGCUGCCCUCAAACACGGCUUGUGUGUUGGGCCUCCGUCCUCCUCCCGGGGGACGGGCCCGAAAGGCAGCGGCGGCACCGCGUCCGGUCCUCGAGCGUAUGGGGCUUCGUCACCCGCUCUUGUAGGCCCGGCCGGCGCUUGCCGACACAUCAAUCUUUUUUCCAGGUUGACCUCGGAUCAGGUAGGGAUACCCGCUGAACUUAAGCAUAUCAAUAAGCGGAGGA
rnacentral:misc_RNA from 1 species